rnacentral:rRNA from 1 species
AUGAGCAGCAGGAGCACACUACAGAUGUUGAUUGAUAAAACUUGCUGGAAAGACAAGAAUCUGCCAAAGUCAAAGAAAAAUGAUGAAGCGGAGUCUCAGGGCAGCAUUGACAUGUUCAAGUUGUGCAACAAGAAGCCAGCUUUGCCAACCACCUUCCCUGUGCCAGAUUUCCAUGAGCGAGAGUUGUGUGACAAGAUUGAUUUUGCUGUUGACCAGAAUAUGUUCUUCUUGAGUGAGGCUGAAAAGAAUCCAGUUGACAUGGAGGAAGUAGGGAAGGGUCUUGAUUGGGUUCAUUCGAAGGAGAAAUACAUGGAAUAUUUGAAGCAGCUUCCAGAUAUCAGCUCCAGCAAGAGCAAGGCAACAUCUGUGGCAAACCCUCAUGUGGUCCAGAAGAGCAAAGGAGUUACAAUGAAGAAGAAUCUGAAGUUUCCUCAAACCAAGAAACAGAUGCCGAGGGCAGAUGCAGAAAUAAAUGUGGACAAGGAAGCUGUGGCGCAAACUGUUGUUCCAACUGUAGUGAUCAGAGAGCCAACCACCACUGAAGAUGUGUCAGCAAUACCUGUUGAGCCUACAACCAUCAUAGGAGUUCAACAGAACAAGGGGAAGAUCCACCUGUCAAUAGCCCCACCUAAACCAGCUAAGCAGCAAAAGAUUGUCAAGUUUGCCAAGGGCACAAAGGAGGAAUGA